CACACUGCUUGGGGCCACCAGGAGGGUGAGUGGUGGCACCAGCUGCCGCGCCAGCUAGGUAAGCAGCUUACUCGGGCGCCGCCCCCGCCAGCCCCCUAAUUAUGCUGAGCUGGUUCACUCGUGAUCAAACUGGUCCAGUCUGCGAUCGAACUGAUGAACCAGCCCUGGUUCGAGGUGAACCAGUUCGGCACAAACUGUUUGUGCACACCCCUAAUUGAGAUUCCAUUUUUUAAAUGCAUAUACUUUCCCUUCUGCAGUACGUCCUUUGUAUUUCAGGACAGCAGUGGAGUAUCCAUUUAUGUCAAUAUAGGGACCUCCAUAUCCCCAUGGGUGGAUGUCGGAAGGCUCCAGAUGCAGUUCCGAGGCAAAGCAACAGAACAAUUUCAAAAAGGCUGAGAUCUUUGACGCCAACCCAUCUGAUGAAAUAGAUGUCUGAUUGUUCUACUCACUUAGACAAAAGGUUGUGACAAUGAAUUUUCAACAGAGAUUUUAAUAAGAUUAUUUGAUGAAAGUACAGAACUGAAAGUGAAAACAUCACCAUCAACCUUGAUAUUCCAUUCCCUGUUAAAGAAAAUGGCUAACUUAUUCAGUCUCAAUGAAUCCUUAUCUUUGCCACAAAUGCUGCAAGUUUCAUCCAUUUUGAAGAAAUUAAUUCUUCUCAACAGAAAGGCUAAAAAUUUACCAGGAAAUGUGCGUGUUAAAAAACUAAUCUUCAGCCCAUGGAAAGGAACAUGGCACAACUGUAGGGUAAGGCCCCCCACUCCCCAAAUAUGACUUCAUUCAAUGAAUUAAAAAAGCAAUACUAGGAGCAUUGCUCCAGAUAAUCCCCACAAGUUCCUUUCUGCUCACUGCAUAGGUUCUUUGACUAAGUACAAGGUGGUAUGAACGUCCAUUAAAAUGGCGCCCAUGCUUCAUUUUCAGUCUCCUCACCUAAGAAAACAGUACCUGAAUACUGGUUAGGCAGCUCAAAAAAGCAUCAUCAAUUUAUACUCCUGUAAACUGUUUUGUAAACAAUAUUUAUACUCCACUGCAGCAUCUCUGUACAGCUACAUCAUGAUGCUACUUAGCAGAGUCGGUUUUUUGACAAUGGAACAUUGAAGAAUUGCAGGGAAAUAGUUGUGGGCACCAGAGUUAACUAUAAUUUUUUUGGUAAAGUUAACUUUAUCUCAGCUUUCCUGCUUCUGCUUAUAUUUUUAUGGUGGUUAUUUGUUGACGUUUUAUGGUUUUUACUGUUUAACUGAUUUUAAGGUUUUUAAAUGUGAUUUUUAUGAAAUUUUAUUGUGUUUUAACUUUUGUAAACCACCUUGGACGCCUUAUGAAAGGUGGUAUAAAAACUGAACAAUAAUAAAUGUUUCAAACCCAA